rnacentral:rRNA from 1 species
UACGGAGGGUGCGAGCGUUAAUCGGAAUUACUGGGCGUAAAGCGCGCGUAGGCGGUUAAUUAAGUCAGAUGUGAAAUCCCAGGGCUCAACCUUGGAACUGCAUUUGAAACUGGUUAACUAGAGUUUUGUAGAGGGUGGUAGAAUUUCAGGUGUAGCGGUGAAAUGCGUAGAGAUCUGAAGGAAUACCAGUGGCGAAGGCG